UACGGGGGGAGCAAGCGUUGUUCGGAUUUACUGGGCGUAAAGGGCGCGUAGGCGGCCACCGCAAGUCGGUUGUGAAAUCUCUGGGCUUAACCCAGAAAGGUCAACCGAUACUGCGGGGCUAGAGUGCAGAAGGGGCAACUGGAAUUCUCGGUGUAGCGGUGAAAUGCGUAGAUAUCAGGAGGAACACCGGUGGCGAAGGCGGUUCUCUGGGCAUGUCCUGACGCUGAGGAGCGAAAGUGUGGGGAGCGAACAGG
rnacentral:rRNA from 1 species